rnacentral:misc_RNA from 1 species
AAGUCGUAACAAGGUCUCCGUAGGUGAACCUGCGGAGGGAUCAUUAACACAUUUCCAAAACAAACUCUUCAUUACCCUUGGCAACAGGGGUAUAUGAAACCCUAUUCACUUAGCGAACCCCAAGGGCUGGGAAGGAUGCUGUGAGUUUACUCGCAGCACACCCUUCUCACUGACCCUUUAUUUCCUUUUUCCAUUUUUCUUUUAAACCCUAACAAAACAAACAUGCUUUUUUAACAAACGUCUGACUGAGACUUCCUCACCGAAGUCUCGUUGUUCUAUAGACCGAAAGGUCUGCAGAGCAAUGAAAACUGGUAUUAUAUCAAUAACAAAAAAAAAACAACUCUUAGCAACGGAUAUCUUGGUUCUC